rnacentral:rRNA from 1 species
CUACGGGGGGCACCAGUGGGGGAUAUUGCACAAUGGGCGAAAGCCUGAUGCAGCAACGCCGCGUGAAGGAAGACGGUUUUCGGAUUGUAAACUUCUAUCAGCAGGGAAGAAAAUGACUGUACCUGACUAAGAAGCCCCGGCUAACUACGUGCCAGCAGCCGCGGUAAUACGUAGGGGGCAAGCGUUAUCCGGAAUUACUGGGUGUAAAGGGUACGUAGGCGGCUGAUCAAGUCAGAUGUGAAAGCCCGGAGCUCAACUCCGGGACUGCAUUUGAAACUGGUCGGCUAGGGUGCAGGAGAGGAAAGUGGAAUUCCUAGUGUAGCGGUGAAAUGCGUAGAUAUUAGGAAGAACACCAGUGGCGAAGGCGGCUUUCUGGACUGUAACUGACGCUGAGGUACGAAAGCGCGGGGAGCGAACAGGAUUAGAUACCCGAGUAGUC